AGAGUGUAUGGCGGAUGCCUAGACAUAAGAAAACGAAGAAGGACGUAGCAGCCUGCGAUAAGCUGCGGUGAGGUGGCAAGCAACCUUUGACCCGCAGAUCUCCGAAUGGGGAAACCCACUCCGUUGUUGACGGAGUAAGCGCUGCCGUUUGGUGGCGCUGGAAGACCCGGCAAACUGAAACAUCUUAGUAGCCGGAGGAAAAGAAAACAAAAGUGAUUCCCUUAGUAGUGGCGAGCGAACGGGGAGGAGCCUAAACCUGCCGAACUGCGGUUUUGAUCCAGCUUGCUGGGGAGAAAUCAGAAGGUUCUAGAACUAUAUGUUCCGCAGGGGUUGCAAGACAGCAUGUCUGUUCUCUAGAUUGAACAGAGCAGAGUCAUAAAAAAUAAUCUUUAGCAGAAGCGAGUUGGAAAACUCAGCCAGAGUGGGUGAUAGCCCCGUAAGCGAAAAGGAUUAUUUCUCUGUCGUGCUUGUUCUUAAGUAGUGCGGGACUCGUGAAAUCCCGUAUGAAUCCGGGUCGACUAUGACCCAAGGCUAAAUAUUUCUUAUGAUCGAUAGUGAACCAGUACCGUGAGGGAAAGGUGAAAAGCAUCCCGAGAGGGAGGUGAAAUAGUACCUGAAACCAUAUACUUACAAAGAGUCGGAGCCGCGCUUGCGCGGUGACGGCGUGCCUAUUGAAGAAUGAGCCAACGAGUUUGUUCUAUGUGGCUUACAUAAUCUCCUCCGGAGAGUAUGUGUAGUGAAAGCGAGGGUUAAUAGCCCGCAUUGCACUUCACUUUUACGCAUUAAGCAAUUAGUGCGUUAAAGUGAAGUACACGUCGCAUGGACAAGACCCGAAGCCGGGUGAUCUAACCAUGUCCAGGUUGAACUCUGUCGAAAGGCAGAGGAAGGACCGAACCCACGAGCCGUGCAACACUCGGGGAUGAGAGGUGGUUAGCGCAGAAAUUGUAAUCGAACUCGGCAAUAGCUGGUUCUCCUCGAAAUAGUUUUUGGACUAGCCUCGAGUGCUGACUGCGGGGGGUAGAGCACUGGAUGAGGGCGGGUCGCAAGAUACCGUCUUCAAUCAAACUCCGAAUACCCGUAGGUGCAGCUCGGGAGUCAGACCAUGGGCGCUAAGGUUCAUCGGUCAAAAGGGAAACAGCCCAGACCACAAUCUAAGGUCCCUAAAUAUAAGCUAAGUGUAAAAGGUGGUGUUGUGACCGCGACAAUUAGGAGGUUGGCUUAGAAGCAGCCAUCCUUUAAAGAUAGCGUAAUAGCUCACUAAUCAAGUUGUUUCGCGCCGAAAAUUUACCGGGGCUAAGCAUAUUACCGAAGAUGUGGACUCUAUGAUUUAUCGUAGAGUGGUAGAGGAGCAUUCUCUUCAGCGUUGAAGUCGUGUCGUGAGGCAUGGUGGAGCGGAGAGAAGUGAGAAUGUUGGCAUGAGUAGCAGAAAGGCGGGUUAAAAUCCCGCCCACCGAAAAUCUAAGGUUUCCUGGGCAACGAGAAUCGACCCAGGGUUAGUCGAUCCUAAGGUGUAUCUAAUGUAGUGUUAGAAUAACCGAUGGAAGAGCUGGUUAAUAUUCCAGCACUACUGUGUUUUUCCGAAGGAGGGACGCGGUUCUAAAGUUUGAGCGGGCACUGGUAUGUCCGUUGGGGGUUUCAAGAGGCGGCCUAGGCAAAUCCGGGCCAACAGCUUCAAGAAACAGCCAGAAGAUGAAGUCGCAAGAUGGAGUCAAUUCAAGUGGCAGAGCCGACGAGAAAAACUUCUAGGGCUAAGGGCACAGUAUCCGUACCGUAAACCGACACAGGUAGAUGAGGCGAGAAGCCUAAGGUGUACGAGAGAACCUUCGCUAAGGAACUCGGCAAAACAGCGGCCGUAAUUUCGAGAUAAGGCCUGCCCUGCGCAAGCAGGGCCGCAGCUAAAGAGCUCAAGGGACUGUUUAUCAAAAACACAGCUCUCUGCUAACUCGCAAGAGGAUGUAUAGAGGGUGAGGCCUGGCCAGUGUCCGAACGUUAAGAGGAGAGGUUAGCCCUUCGGGGCAAAGCUUUGAAUCCAAGCGCGGAUGAACGCCGGCGAUAACUAUAAUCGUCCUAAGGUUUUGCGGUUUAUCAUAUAGACCGCAAAAGACUGGGACGAUUAUAAAUUGAUAAAUAACAAAGUUCGUUGCCUAGCUAUGGCGAAAGCCAUGGUUGUCUAAAAUACUCAG
rnacentral:rRNA from 1 species